UUCUCUCUCUCUCUCUCUUUCUUUUUCUCCUUCUUCUCCCUCUCUCUUUUCAUAAUUAAGAGGAAGGGGAGAGAGGAGAGAAACAGAGAACCCAAGAGAGGAGAGAGAAGAGAGAAGAC
rnacentral:ribozyme from 13 species